GCUUGGGUGGCCUAGUGGUAGAGCGUCCGCCUCGAAUGCGGGAAGUCGUGGGUUCAAAGCCCAGUCGAGUCA